AUCAGUGGUUCUCCACAGUUUGGGCUUGCCGCUUUAACUGUUUUAUUCUGGGUACAACAUGGCCAUGUUGUUGCUAAUGACUUCAGGCAACUCUCUGAAGUGACAGCCUCAGCACUGAUAUACAGCGAACAUGAAGCACUGAACCCUUAAGCUUUUUCAUCUUUGGAGCAACAACAAAUAAUUCACACUGCUAAACACAAAGAGCAGAGAUAAUUGAAUGUAGAAGAAUGAUCUGUAUGUCUUGCUGCUGGACUGCAGGCUGAUUACACCCAGAAGUCAACAGGGAUCAGUAAUGCACCAGUCUACCACGGACAGGGAGGGAGGAAGGAAGGGAUGGGUGUGCCAGACCAUCCUUCAUCCAAACCACCACAACCACUAAUGCCGCUACCCCCCUUCCCCUUUCUGCCUCCUGCAUCAGGGAGGAGGGCUAUCCCAGCUUCCCCUCGUCCCAGCAUCAUGCUUUCCACUCUGCAGUAUCUCCUGAAGUUAGCUACCAGGGCUUGGCCCUGACAGACAAUCCUCAGGUUCACUAAGCUCAGAAUAAACGAGCUCUGGGUAUUAGCUGCACAGUCCUCUUCAGCCUGUGUGGCGCUUGCUGCUGACCCAAGUUCCCCUAGAUCUGGUGCCGGUAACAAUUGGGGGCUCGUCCCGGGAUCCCACGUGGCUUGUCAGGAAAGAUUGGUGCAGAGACGACGAGAGACAGUAUCUGAGGCUUCAGGGAAGGCUGCGUUGAAUGUGUCAUUCAGAGAGCCGAAGCAACAGGUGAAACGUCAGCAUGACUACCAUCACUCUACGCAGAGGAUUAAUAUUCAAGAUACAAAAAAAACUUUUUACAUUGAAUCCCGAGCAGCUACAGACAGUUGUCUUCAAUUGACGAUGGAGGUUCCAUUCACGUUCAUGAUUUAAGCAAACCCGAACUGUAUGAUGUGAUUGUUGACUUUGUUAGAAGUGAGAAACUGGAAGCAUUGGAGGAUGGAGGCAUGGCUCAACUUGUUCUUUUGGAUGAUCUGGUUAGUAACCUGCUCACCUCUGAUGCCGGUGCAGCUGGAGAUGACCCAACCACACUUUUAAGAACAGAUGUGUCAACCAGUCGGUCUGGUUGUCUUGCCUCUCUUCAGCCGGAUCCCAUUGAUUCAGGCUUGCGUACAGCUACUCCAACUACAGACAUUCCCUUGCAGCCAACACAUGCAAUCAACAAAAUCCAUACACCGUCCCUUUUGCCUCUGGACAGUGACUUGCGGGCUCAUGAAGGUACUGCGGGAGGCGCCACUUCUGGCACACCAGCGAAAACAACUACAGCGAGUGAAAGUGGUAAGAGGAGUCCCACUUCCAGUGUGGGAGACCAGAUUUUGAGGCUAAGUGAUGUUGCAGCCUUGUUUCCACGCAGGGAGUUUAGGCUUCAUGGUGGGCAGAUCUCUGAUUUUGGUUCUGAUGUGUCAUACAGUAACCUGUGUAGACAAAUAGAUGAAGGGUUGCAGGAAGGUUUUACUGAAACAGAAGUAAUUCACACAAUCCUCAAGAUAAUGAAGCCAGGUACAUUCAAAGAAAUGUUGUCUAAUAAAUGUGAC